rnacentral:rRNA from 1 species
UAGGGAAUCUUCCGCAAUGGGCGAAAGCCUGACGGAGCAACGCCGCGUGAGUGAUGAAGGUCUUCGGAUCGUAAAACUCUGUUAUUAGGGAAGAACAAAUGUGUAAGUAACUAUGCACGUCUUGACGGUACCUAAUCAGAAAGCCACGGCUAACUACGUGCCAGCAGCCGCGGUAAUACGUAGGUGGCAAGCGUUAUCCGGAAUUAUUGGGCGUAAAGCGCGCGUAGGCGGUUUUUUAAGGCUGAUGUGAAAGCCCACGGCUCAACCGUGGAGGGUCAUUAGAAACUGGAAAACUUGAGUGCAGAAGAGGAAAGUGGAAUUCCAUGUGUAGCGGUGAAAUGCGCAGAGAUAUGGAGGAACACCAGUGGCGAAGGCGACUUUCUGGUCUGUAACUGACGCUGAUGUGCGAAAGCGUGGGGAUCAAACAGG